UGAUCUAAUGAUUCAAACCCUUGUGAACUUCUUUAGAACAAAAGAGGUUCGUAACAAGAUUUUCUUCACACUAGCAAUGUUAGUAAUUUUUAAAAUAGGGACUUAUAUACCAGCUCCAGGAGUAAAUCCUGCAGCUUUUGAUAAUCCCCAAGGUUCUCAAGGUGCCACUGAGUUAUUAAAUACUUUUGGUGGCGGAGCCUUGAAACGAUUUUCUAUUUUUGCAAUGGGUAUUGUACCCUACAUCACUGCAUCAAUCGUAAUGCAAUUAUUACAAAUGGAUAUUGUCCCUAAAUUCUCAGAAUGGGCAAAACAAGGUGAAGUAGGUAGAAGAAAGUUAAAUAACGUUACUCGUUAUUUAGCAAUUUCUUUAGCAUUUAUCCAAUCUAUAGGUAUGGCAUUCCAAUUUAAUAAUUAUCUCAAAGGUGCGCUGAUUAUCAAUCAGUCAAUUAUGAGUUAUUUAUUAAUAGCACUAGUUUUGACAGCAGGAACUGCUUUCUUAAUAUGGCUUGGUGAUCAAAUCACUCAGUUCGGUGUUGGUAAUGGUAUUUCUAUUAUCAUAUU
rnacentral:antisense_RNA from 2 species